UUAGUAGCGGCGAGUGAAGCGGCAAAAGCUCAAAUUUGAAAUCUGGUACUUUCAGUAUCCGAGUUGUAAUUUGAAGAAGGUAUCUUUGGAUCUGGCUCUUGUCUAUGUUUCUUGGAACAGAACGUCACAGAGGGUGAGAAUCCCGUGCGAUGAGAUGUCCCAGAUCUAUGUAAAGUUCCUUCGAAGAGUCGAGUUGUUUGGGAAUGCAGCUCUAAGUGGGUGGUAAAUUCCAUCUAAAGCUAAAUAUUGGCGAGAGACCGAUAGCGAACAAGUACAGUGAUGGAAAGAUGAAAAGAACUUUGAAAAGAGAGUGAAAAAGUACGUGAAAUUGUUGAAAGGGAAGGGCUUGAGAUCAGACUUGGUAUUUUAUAUGUUACUUCUUCGGGGGUAGCCUCUAUAGUUUAUCGGGCCAGCAUCGGUUUGAACGGUAGGAUAAUGGUAAAGAAAUGUGGCAUUACUUGUAAUGUGUUAUAGUCUUUAUUGAUACUGCCAGUUUAGACCGAGGACUGCGAUUUUUAAUCUAGGAUGUUGGCAUAAU
rnacentral:rRNA from 1 species